AUGACUAAGACAGUUACGUCAUGCGACUGGGUCCCGUCUAUCGUCACAGAAGAAAUGCUUCAGGAAUAUGUCAAGAUUGGCUUCUUGCCAGCAAAAAAUGUCAUUCACUGGCGUUCUCCAAACCCAAAUGAAGUCAGGCCUCAGCCACAAGAUAACGAGAUUAUUAGUUUUACUGAUCACAUGAACCGGGGUUUCUCACCGCCCGGGUCAAAAUUCUUCCGGGAUGUUCUGCAUUUCUUUCAACUUCACCCUCAAGACAUCGGACCCUAUUCCGUCUCUAAUAUCUGCAAUUUCCAUGUCUUCUGCGAAGCAUACCUUCAAGAGGAGCCCAGCGUUGAACUCUUCAAAGAAUAUUUCUAUCUGAACCGCCAGAACGAGUUCACCGAUGGACCUAGCUUAGAGCAUGGUGGAGUCUCAAUUCAGCGGUGGAGAGACGCCAUCUUUCCUUAUGCUCAGCUUCCAAGUCAUCCCAAGGAUUGGAAUUAG
rnacentral:rRNA from 1 species